NNNUCUUUAUCUGAUUCAGUGGGUGGCUCUGAAAAGAGCCUUUUUGGGAGCUCGCGGGGGUUAUAUCACAGAGACGCGGGCCGGCGCGAGCAGUGGCCUCACUUGCCCUUCGCCUUAUGGUGGCUCUCCGUCUUCUUGGGCAGCAGCACGGUGUUGAGCUCCUCGUCGUUGCGGAUGGCCAGCUGCAGGUGGCGCGGGAUGAUGCGCGUCUUCUUGUUGUCGCGAGCCGCGUUGCCCGCCAGCUCCAGGAUCUCGGCCGUUAGGUACUCCAGCACCGCCGCCAUAUACACCGGCGCGCCGGCGCCCACACGCUCCGCGUAGUUGCCCUUGCGCAGCAGCCGGUGCACACGCCCCACCGGGAACUGUAGCCCGGCCCGGGAAGACCGCGACUUGGCCUUGGCGCGGGCCUUGCCUCCUUGCUUGCCACGACCGGACAUCACGAAAGCGCAAACAGACUAACGGCCACAACCAGGAAACGGUACUCCGGCGCCGACGCCUCACCCUUUUAUAGACGCAGACCCGAUUGUCCGCACGACGCUCUCAUUGGCUCACACGCGUCCUGACGCCGUGGCCAAUAGGAGCGCGCGGACAGAAGCCUCUCAUUUACAUAAGACCGGCUCCCUCGCCCCGGCGCCGCCCUGGANNNNNNNAGGAAUAGAGCCGGUAGCACGCGUAAACUUGGCCACAGGGCAUGGUGUACCAGGUGUAGGUGACUGGCACAGGCUGUGAGUUCUUUCCUCAACUCCAUCUUUGUGCACAAAGCCAGGCGGCCUUACCCUGUUCCUUGUAUGAAACCACCUACGGUGUCUCUGCUGCUUCCUGUGUUUUUUUGUUUUUCUCUUCUACCUCCCAUUGAUAUUAGAAAUCAUUUCUAUUCAAGUUACAUGUGUGCCCUUGAAUGAGGAGUAUUAAGUGUAGGGGUAUCUUUCGACUUUGCAGGGGAGUUAAAUUAGUGUUAAUAUAUUGUCAGAAUGUAGGAAAGCAUUAGGCAGUCCAUUUAUUAAAGUAUCAGCAUCGGAGGCGUCUGUGAAGUAACUUGUCUUUUGGGUCAGAAAUUGCUUAACUUGGAUCUUUAGUUAUUUUUUAGUUGCAGUUUUCAGUUUACAUACGGUGACUAAAUUUACUGUUUCAGGUCACAAGAUUUAAGAGGGAUUUACGUACAGCUUGUUAAAGAUUGAAGUCUUAAUGGCACUUUGUAUGUUAUUUCAUUGUAGUUUGGCAUAUUCUGGGAUGUAGGUCAAUGGCACAGUACUUUCCUAGUUAUAUACGGGGUCUUAAGCACCACACCAGAAAUUCAAUCAGAAUUGUUUAGCCACACAGACAUUGUUGCUUGUUUUCUGUUUGCCUUAGUUUCACUCCCCCCACCCCCUGCUUCCCUGAGUGUCUCCCACCUGCCUCUGCUGCUCUUCAGUCAGCUCUGCUUCUCCUUUGGUCCUGUCACAUUGUUGCUAUUCCCAUAGUGUCAAUGCUCUUCUCUCAUCCCUGCAGAUUGGGUCCUGGGCUACCUUGGGUAUUUCUGCUCCAAGUUACCACAUGCUUCUAAAAACAGAAAGAGAUACACUUGAGCCAGACUCUUGUAUAAUUAACUCCCAGGGAACGUCCUAAACAAGUAUCUACCCAAGGGUAUGGAAGUAGUUUGGCUCCACACUGAGCUGCUUCGGGAACAUUGUCCCUAAAGAAGCAGGCUCUUCUGAAAAACAUAAAUAGGUUAGCUGAAAGCUGACUGUAAGUGUGGUGUCUCUGUCUUCGCUUGAUGUCUGUCUCUUUUGGCUAAAGGCAGAGUGAAGUUACUGUUUUACCUUUCUCUUGCAUCAUAGCAAAUGAGGGCCGUUACCCACGAGGUCAGGGCCACUCCCUAGAGUACAAGUGAGAGUCAGAGUGAUAUCUUCCCGAAUCUUGCAGGUUCAAACCGUAGCACUGACCAGAGAACCAUGCAUCUGCCUCCUAGGAUUCCUUAAUUUUGCUAACAUCUUGCCUGCCCAGGUUCCUCCUCUACUUAAGGCUUCAAGCUCAUUCAUGUCAAUAUCUGUAGGUGGACAGAUUUUCGGGGGGUGGGGUUUGCUGGGCCUAUAUUCUUCUCAAUAUAGCUUCUUGACUAAAUCUCUGAUUUUUCUUUUAGACGAGUGGUUGAGCCUUGCCUUAGGGUGUCUACAGCCCAAUCCUUUACCCUCAAACCUUUGGCUACUUGUUCAUUUUGUUGCAUAUCAUGAGGACACUGGCAUUGGUUUACAACUUCAGGCUUUGUGGACGGGCUGAAGUGAAAGCUAUGUUGGUUGACAGUACUGAUUUUGUUACCCUACUAGGUGAAGGAAUAAACCUUGGAACUAA
rnacentral:lncRNA from 1 species